CCUUAAGGAUGUUUCUAUAUUGGGCUCUGAAUUUGAUCUAAUCAAAUUCGAUUCAGAUUUAGUCACUGGUGUCGGUUCUUCUAUCUGUUGAACUUCGUCAAGCUCGACUUUAGAGGCACUUGUUCCUUCACUAAGGAACUUCUUUGCCAAAAAGUAUGCCUUACUGCUAACAAAUACUUUUUGUUCAGUAGGGAGGUAAAAGUAAUAUCUCCUCAUUUCUUUGGGGUACCCUAUAAAAUUAUACUUAUUGGACCUAAGUCCGAGCUUGUCAGUUUGUAAUCGUUUGACAUAAGCCAAACACUCCC
rnacentral:lncRNA from 1 species